GUGGGGAAUAUUGGACAAUGGGCGAAAGCCUGAUCCAGCCAUGCCGCGUGUGUGAAGAAGGUCUUCGGAUUGUAAAGCACUUUAAGUUGGGAGGAAGGGCAGUAAGUUAAUACCUUGCUGUUUUGACGUUACCGACAGAAUAAGCACCGGCUAACUUCGUGCCAGCAGCCGCGGUAAUACGAAGGGUGCAAGCGUUAAUCAGAAUUACUGGGCGUAAAGCGCGCGUAGGUGGAUUUGUAAGUUGGAGGUGAAAUCCCCGGGCUCAACCUGGGAACUGCCUCCAAAACUGCAUGACUAGAGUACGGUAGAGGGUAGUGGAAUUUCCUGUGUAGCGGUGAAAUGCGUAGAUAUAGGAAGGAACACCAGUGGCGAAGGCGACUACCUGGACUGAUACUGACACUGAGGUGCGAAAGCGUGGGGAGCAAACAGGAUUAGAUACCCGUGUAAUCC
rnacentral:rRNA from 1 species